UCGAAGCCUGUAACGGAAAAGAAGACGGGAAUGGAGGGCUUACAGGGAAGAGAUUUCACAGGUUCUAGAUGAAUAAACUCAACCCAGACAGAUGCUUUCAGGUGACAUAAAGCGGACACAGGGCUCCUGCAAGACAAAGACUGUGGGAGCCCAGGGCAGCCCAGCUGGGGGCAGAGGCUGAGGUGGAGGAGGGGAGUAUGAGCCCUUUGUGGGGGGCCUUGCAGAGGUCAGAGGGGGAGAGUAGAUACCCACCUCUCCAAAGAGGCAGAGCAGCUUUUCCAUGGAGAUUUGAAGGACUGGGAGGCUCAGAGGCCCAGCCGUACGUGGGAGUCCAGGGAGAAGUGCAGCUGAGACCUGCUGAGAAGCGUGGUGAUGCUGGGAACUUCAAGAGCAACCAGGCCUGGCUUGCCAGCCAGCCUGUCCCAGCUCUGCGUCUCUCCAGCUUCCUUCCUAAAUCACCACCACCACCUGCCCUAGGAGUGGAGCCCUUGGGUUGGAGCCAGCUGAUUGGAUGUGAGCUCUAAGGUGAGCGUUUUGCUCAAGAACUGUAGCUGCUAGAAGGUAUAUAACAUCUCAUUCAGAUGCCAGGAAAAGAAGAAGUGGGGUGGAGAUGUUUGUGCAUCUAACGGGUGGGUGGCGGGAAUGACAAUGACAUAAAUCUCCUAAUUCCAUAAGGACGUGGGACUCUCUGCUGACUGGGUCUUAGAACACUGGUAAAUUGUUCCACAGCAGUAGAAAGGGAUGCGGGGUUUUUAGGACACAUCCUAAGGAGAUCCCAUUCUUGUCUGUAUUCCACGUGCAUGCACAGACAACAGCUAAAAGGAAAUGAUACAUGUUGGGGGUGAGGGAGCCAGUAGCUUUUAAUUCAUUCCUUAUACUUCCUGGAUUAUGUGAGAAAAAUUUAAAUAGCACAUAUUAAUUUAAUAAUCAGAUGGGGAAAAAUAGAGAUCUUAGAAGNCCUUUUUUUUUUUUUUUUUUUGGUCUUUUCUAGGGCUGCACCUGUGGCAUAUGGAGGUUCCCAGGCUUAGGGUCGAAUCGGAGCUGUGGUGGCCGGCCUAUGCCAGAGCCACCACAACACAGCAUCCGAGCUGCGUCUGCGACCUACACCACAGCCCACGGCAACGCUGGAUCCUUAACCCACUGGGCGAGGCCAGGGAUCGAACCCACAACCUCAUGGUUCCUAGUCGGAUUUGCUAACCACUAUGCCACAACAGGAACUCCAUAUCCUACAUGCCUCUAAGGACUGUGGUCGAUUGAAAUGAUGUAGCUGAUACAAAAGUGUUUUUGAAAGUUGUGCAAUGUUUUAAAGAUACAAUGUGGUGUAUUUUUCUUUUUUCGGGUUUACUUAAAUUUUAUUUAUUUAUUUAUUUUUAUUAUUAUUUUUUAAUUUUUUAAAAUAGUUAUUUCCCCAAUACAAUUUUUUUUCCUACUGUACAGCAUGGUGAUCCAGUUAGACGUACAUGUACACACUCUUUUUUCUCACAUUAUCAUGCUCUAUCCUAAGUAACUAGACAUAAUUCCCAG
rnacentral:lncRNA from 1 species